GAUGAACGCUGGCGGCGUGCCUAAUACAUGCAAGUAGAACGCUGAAGGCGGAGCUUGCUCUUCUGGAUGAGUUGCGAACGGGUGAGUAACGCGUAGGUAACCUGCCUGGUAGCGGGGGAUAACUAUUGGAAACGAUAGCUAAUACCGCAUGACAACAGUUAUUGCAUGAUAACUGUUUAAAAGGGGCAACUGCUCCACUACCAGAUGGACCUGCGUUGUAUUAGCUAGUUGGUGAGGUAACGGCUCACCAAGGCGGCGAUACAUAGCCGACCUGAGAGGGGGAUCGGCCAAACUGGGACGGGGACAGGGCCCAGACGCCUACGGGAGGCAGCCGUAGGGAAUCUUCGGCAAUGGACGGAAGUCUGACCGAGCAACGCCGCGUGAGUGAAGAACGUUUUCGGAUCGUAAAGCUCGGUUGUAAGAGAAGAACGGGUGUGAGAGUGGAAAGUUCACACUGUGACGGUAUCUUACCAGAAAGGGACGGCUAACUACGUG
rnacentral:rRNA from 1 species